UACGGAGGGUGCAAGCGUUAUCCGGAUUCACUGGGUUUAAAGGGUGCGUAGGUGGGUCGGUAAGUCAGUGGUGAAAUCUCUGGGCUUAACCCGGAAACUGCCAUUGAUACUAUCGAUCUUGAAUAUCGCGUAGGUAAGCGGAAUAUGUCAUGUAGCGGUGAAAUGCUUAGAUAUGACAUAGAACACCAAUUGCGAAGGCAGCUUACUUCACGAUCAUUGACACUGAGGCACGAAAGCGUGGGGAUCGAACAGG
rnacentral:rRNA from 1 species